rnacentral:rRNA from 1 species
UCUCACUAUAGCGAGACUGCCGUUGACAAAAGGGAGGAAGGUGGGGAAGAUGUCAAAUUAUCAUGCCCCUUAUGUCCUGGGCUACACACGUAAUACAAUGGCGGUCAACAGAGGGAAGCAAAACCGCAAGGUGGAGCGAACCCCUAAAAGCCGUCUCAGUUCAGAUUGUGGGCUGCAACCCGCCUGCAUGAAGUCGGAAUCGCUAGUAAUCGCGGAUCAGCAUGCCGCGGUGAAUACGUUCCCGGGCCUUGUACACACCGCCCGUCACACCAUGAGAGUCGGGAACACCCGAAGUCCGUAGCCUAACCGUAAGGAGGGCGCGGCCGAAAGUGGGUUCGAUAAUUGGGGUGAAGUCGUAACAAGGUAACCGUAUAA